UUUUAUGGAGAGUUUGAUCCUGGCUCAGAGUGAACGCUGGCGGCGUGCCUAAUACAUGCAAGUCGAACGAUGAAGCUUCUAGCUUGCUAGAAGUGGAUUAGUGGCGCACGGGUGAGUAAGGUAUAGUUAAUCUGCCCUACACAAGAGGACAACAGUUGGAAACGACUGCUAAUACUCUAUACUCCUGCUUAACACAAGUUGAGUAGGGAAAGUUUUUCGGUGUAGGAUGAGACUAUAUAGUAUCAGCUAGUUGGUAAGGUAAUGGCU
rnacentral:rRNA from 2 species